rnacentral:rRNA from 1 species
GACGAACGCUGGCGGCGUGCUUAACACAUGCAAGUCGAACGGAAAGGCCCUGCUUUUGUGGGGUGCUCGAGUGGCGAACGGGUGAGUAACACGUGAGUAACCUGCCCUUGACUUUGGGAUAACUUCAGGAAACUGGGGCUAAUACCGGAUAGGAGCUCCUGCUGCAUGGUGGGGGUUGGAAAGUUUCGGCGGUUGGGGAUGGACUCGCCGCUUAUCAGCUUGUUGGUGGGGUAGUGGCUUACCAAGGCUUUGACGGGUAGCCGGCCUGAGAGGGUGACCGGCCACAUUGGGACUGAGAUACGGCCCAGACUCCUACGGGAGGCAGCAGUGGGGAAUAUUGCACAAUGGGCGGAAGCCUGAUGCAGCAAAGCCGCGUGCGGGAUGACAGCCUUCGGGUUGUAAACCGCUUUCGCCUGUGACGAAGCGUGAGUGACGGUAAUGGGUAAAGAAGCACCGGCUAACUACGUG